GCCGGGAAACUCGCCCAAGGAUGACGAUCCGACGAAUGGUGUUGGACUGGUUGUCGGGAAAGACGACGGCUGCGGCGGAAGGCGCAUCCUUCGUCGUGGCGAGCAUGAGUUUUUCUAAUCUGCGGCUCAGCGAUGUCCAUAAGACAGACACGUAGAAGCACCAGGCACUGUUGCAUUAAAGCGGACCGUCUCAGAAAUUCAACGAUAUUUCUGUCACCGUCUCUCUGUCACCAAGGCAAGAUUUCAAUUGAUGGAGCACAUUCGUGCGUUUUUCUUUAAAACUCAUCGAUCCCGAUCCAUCUAAUUUUUUUGUUUGGCAAGUAACAAGAAGUGAAAAGUUUGGAGCAGCAGGAUUUUCCUCGUCGCAAAAUUUUCCUGACGAAGUCGGAAGGAAAUCUCGGCGGUAUUCGGUGAGUGGCCUGGCGUCUGGGUAUCACGCGAAAAUUGAGAUCGCAAUUAGGCGCACAAUAAUAAUGAGUGAGUCCGUAAAAGUCACGUCACAGCAACUAACCCGUAUGUC